rnacentral:rRNA from 1 species
GUUGAACGCUGGCGGCAUGCCUAACACAUGCAAGUCGAACGGUAACAGGAAGAACUUUCCUUCUUUGCUGACGAGUGGCGGAGGGGUGAGUAAUGUCUGGGAAACUGCCUGAUGGAGGGGGAUAACUACGGGAAACGGUAGCUAAUACCGCAUAACGUCGCAAGAGCAAGGUGGAGGACCUUCAGACCUCUUUCCAUCCGCUGUGCCCUGAUUGCAUUAGCUAGUAGGUGGGGUAACGGCUCACCUAGGCGACGAUGCGUAGCUGGUCUGAGAGGGUGACCAGCCACACUGGAACUGAGACACGGUCCAGACUCCUACGGGAGGCAGCAGUGGGGAAUAUUGCACAAUGGGCGAAAGCCUGACGGAGCAACGCCGCGUGUAUGAAGAAGGUCUUCGGGUUGUAAAGCACUUUCAGUGGGGAGGAAGGGAGUAAAGUGUAUACCUGCACUCAUUGACGGUACCCGAAGAAGAAGCACCGGCUAACUCCGUG